AAGGGAGACCUAAUUCGGGUAGAAGACGAAAAAAUAGUAGUCGAAAUCAAGAAUCAAUCCCAAAAGGUCGGAACGAGGUAUGUGGCUUUCAAACUAGGUUCUGGGUUCACAAAAGACCUGAAUCAGGAACAAGGGCUAUUAGCUCAGGUGGUUAGAGCGCACCCCUGAUAAGGGUGAGGUCCCUGGUUCGAGUCCAGGAUGGCCCACCUGCACAGGUGGCAAAAACAAGAGAAACGAGGAAUCAGCACCUUAUCUUACUUACAUAGUAAGAGAGAAUGCUGGCUCUGAGUAAAGAGUCCAGAGGGACCUUGAAAACUGCAUAGAGCUAGGUGAAAAAGCCAAAAAAGAAGACCGCAA
rnacentral:tRNA from 1 species